UGUUGCAUGAGCCGGUGCCUGCCCUUCUCGUCUCUCCUGCCCGUGCAGCCAAGAUUGCGAUACACCUCGUGUUGGCGGGAUCGGAGAGAGAGGAGGGCGUGGCUGAGAACAUACGGCCUAACACUUGAUCUGGAUAAUACCAGCGAAAGGAUCAUGCAUCUCCGCUCU
rnacentral:ncRNA from 1 species